UGCCGAAUGAGUUUAAGCUCAAAAUAUCCUGCAAAUAUACAUUCACAAAAUGGGGUGGAAUAAAAAGGGGAAAAAAAAAAAAAAAAAAAGGAAAAGGAAAGAAAUGUAAAAAGUUUCUGAACUUUUUUUUUUUUUUUUUUUUUUUUUCUUCUUUUCAUUCCACGUACCCCCCCCAUGUUGUGUAAUUUUUUCAAAACAGGAAGGAAGGUCUGAGAUGCUGCAAAUAAAGAAGACACAAAAGGGAAAAGAACCAAAUAUGUGGAUACAAAGUUUGUCAAAAAUUUUGUCCCCUCAUGUUUGGUACUUUUCCCGUUUUGUUCCAUUCCUUGCGAAUUCUUCUUUAAACUCUUUUUGAGAAAAAAAAUAUUGAAAAAAUAUUAAUUAGCUACCAGAAAUGCCAAUCAUACAUUUUUGGUCUGUCCCUUUCUCCUUCUUUUUUUGGGAGGGGGAAAGGGGCAAACCAAGUGUAUGAUUUUGAAAAAGCUAAUAAGCAAGUAUACGCAAUUGAGUUCGAUUUUUGAGAUUUUUCGAUCGUCCCAAUUGUGUCCCUUUAUCUCUCCAUGUACGUGUGUGUGGGGGAAGAGGGGGUUUCUCCCUACUCCCCCCACCUCCUUGGAAGAGAUAAUAAAAAGGGUCAACACGUUGGGCACCUCCGAGAAAUAACCUAAUUCAGACUACUCGUAAAUUCAUUCGCACCA
rfam:Plasmodium vivax chromosome 4, whole genome shotgun sequence.